GAGCGACUCAGAGAGGGGUGAGGGUGGGUGCGCAGGGAGGGGCGAGGCUGACGGGGCCUGUGUGGCCCCUGGGGGCCAGGCUCCGUGUCUCAGCGCAGGUCAGGAAGAUGGGUGUCACGGAGGAGCUGGGUCCCGGCUCUGCACACCUCAGGGCCCAACUCAGGCAGAGGCUGGGGCUGUCGGUGUCGGGAGGGGAGGCUGCAGCCUGCAGCCCUGCCCCUUCCUGGAGAACAGCCUGCCCUGCCCCGGGACCCCCUUCAUUCACAUCCGCCCCAAGUUCAGGGCCGCCCUGCCCUGGGACCCCCCUCAUCCACAUCCCCCCUGAGCUCAGGGCGGCCCCAAGCCUGCGUAUGAGAUCACAACUGCUCCUUACUUUCUUGGCGUGCGUCUCCAGUGCUCAGGACUAAAUUGUACGCAUGUGGAGCCCCAGAGCCCAGAAGGUCAGCAGAAAGAGCCACACACGGACGGCUCUGGGACAUCUUCUGGCUGCACAGAUGACACCCAGCGGGCCGGCGCCUCAGGACCUCCACACCCAGGUCCCCAGGACGGCGCCCCCACGCCCCACACUGGCCCAGUCCACUGGUUUGUGGAGUCAUAACCUGUGCACAAAUGGGGGGGGGCUGUGGCCUGCCCCGGCUCCGGCGGCCCCUCCACCCCACAAAGGGCUGUUGCUGGGCUCUUUCUGGAAUAAAGGCCACACAGCAGUGAAUGA